GACGUAGGGCGCGAGCGUUGUCCGGAUUUAUUGGGCGUAAAGAGCUCGUAGGCGGCUUGUCGCGUCGGACUGUGAAAUCCCGCGGCUCAACUGCGGGUCUGCAGUCGAUACGGGCAGGCUAGAGUUCGGUAGGGGAGACUGGAAUUCCUGGUGUAGCGGUGAAAUGCGCAGAUAUCAGGAGGAACACCGAUGGCGAAGGCAGGUCUCUGGGCCGAUACUGACGCUGAGGAGCGAAAGCGUGGGGAGCGAACAGG
rnacentral:rRNA from 1 species